ensembl:lncRNA
CAGUAUGCCCAGCAGUGGCAACAGUACUACCAGAACCAGAGCCAGUGGAACCAGUACUACAGCCAGUAUGGCAACUACUCUGGGCAACAGGGCAACAGCCAGGGCCAGUGAAGUGUGUGUGUGUGUGUGUGUGUGUGUGUGUGUGUGUGUGUGUGUGUGUGUGUGUGUGUGUGUGUGAAUGUGAGAGAUCCAGCGACAUUCUUAUAAUUCAUGUAAUCAUUCUUGAACCUGCAUGCAUCAGCACUCAUCCUAUUUUAUCAUGACCUUAUCCCUUUAUAUCCAGUCUUCUCCAGCCAUUCUAGUCAUCCUAGCAGGGUGUAUGCUGCAUUUUGGAUUCGUUUGAGAAAUGCUGAUGAUCUGGUCCAGGCAGAAAACCUUUUAUAUUGUAAUUUAGCUUAUAAGCGACUUAUAAGUGAAGCAGAAUCCAAUGUAAAAGUACAGCUGGGCAGGUGAGGGUUAAGGGUUUUGGGUGGCUCUUUGGCAGUCCUGAAAUCUUAACCUUACAGUAAAUUAGGGGUAGUGCUGCACAUAUGGACAAGCAGCAUAUUAUAGUUACAGAUUGCAAUCACAGUAUACUUAGUAGUCUAAAACAUAUUUGAGGAUAUGUCAAGGUUAAAGCUGGACCUGCAUUGAUUUAACACCCCCCCCCCACCCCCCGUCAAUCACCCUAGAAUAUUAUCCAGACCCUCUUUAAUUUUGUGCAGUGCUCACAGAACUAAAAAAAACAUAAUAAUAAUUAUGUUUGUGUUUGUGUCCUCUUUAGCAUUAUUAUUGUGAUAACGAUUAGUAAAUGAUCUAUUGUGCAGCUGUAAGUCUCAGUCCACUGAGCGACCACUGCCCUUCAAGAAAGAAGAGUUUUUGUGUAAUUAGUUUGAAUUGUACAUUAUGAAUAUAAGAUAUAAGAUCUUUUCAUUUCUAUUUAGCUAAUUCCAUCACCACUUUGCAUCAUGCAUUGCUUGUGUCUGUUAAUAUAAAACAAUUACGGUUUAAUGUUAAAGGAAAAAUCCACCCUGAACUACUCGGCAUAUUAAUCUUUAUAGUUAAACGAUUUCAACUGGUCCAUUUUCACUUGGGUUACUGUUUUCCUACGUUAUCCACAAUGCCCUUCGACGACCUGCUGAUAGUGGUGCCAGUCUGCUCAAACUCUGUUCAAUGGUCCUGUAGGUUCAUUCUGUACAACAUCAAGAAAAUCAGACCCUAUCUCACUGAACAGGCUACACAGCUACUAGUCCAGGCCCUUGUCAUACCAAAACUGGACUACUGCAACGCACAACUCUCGGGCCUCCCAGCCAGCUCCAUCAAACCCUUUCAAAUCAUUCAGAAUGCAGCAGCAUGUCUCGUCUUCAACCAGCCCAAAUGACCCAUGUCACACUCCUCUUCAUCUCCCUCCGCUGGCUUCCUGUAGCCGCCCGUAUCAAAUUCAAGGCCUUGAUGCUCACGUACAAGACCUUGUCUGGAACAGCACCCCCGUACCUCAACACUCUCCUUGAGGCUUACGUUCCCCUCACGCAUUCUGCGAUUGAUUAACAAUUAUCCGACGCUUAGUAGUGCUUACUCAGCGUGGCUCAAAGUUCCUUUACAGAACCUUCACUCUAACCGUCCCUCAGUGGUGGAACAGCUAAAGACCCACCUCUUCCGUGAGCACGUAACUAACCUCUAAAACGCCAACCCCACAUUAUCCUUUAAAAAAAAAAAAACUUACUCUGCGCACUUUGCUGCUCUAGAACUCAAUUAAAAAAUCGUGUAUGGUAGCACUACUUGUAUUGUUCUCCACUUGAUUUUCCAUUCGCUUUGCUUGUAUUUCCUCAUUUGUAAGUCGCUUUGGAUAGAAGUGUCUGCUAAAUGAAUAAUGUAAACAUUAAUGCUAAUACAUCCUCGAACACCGUCAGCUUUGUUAUCUCGUAGCUCACGAAACUACCCAAGCGAAGAGCAAGUGUGUUGUUGCCUACUCCUGUAUUGGCUUUCUCGUUAAUAUGAUGUUGCUUGGAAAUGGUGAGCAGUGGAUGUAUACAGUGAAACGAAGCUCUUUCUCUUUUUUGUUUUUAGGAACUAACCGCGAAAUAUGAGCGUUCUCACUUACAUUUGAGAUCGCUGAAAUUUGUUCUCCUAUUAAGCACCACUGUAACUGCACUUGCAGUGUCCACCUGUGACAUCAGCAUGGCUCACAAGCCGCUGUCUCUCACAAGUAGACCCUAGGAACCAACAAAUUAGCACGAGAAUCACAAAUCCGUUCAUGUAAGCAUUUAAAUAUCUAUUUAAUAUGUUUCAGGGUGGAGGUUUCCUUUAGGGAAAGUGGAAUGUUAAUUUAGCACAGGUACAUACAUUGUAAAUGAUUACGGUUCAUAAAUGGCAUAGCCGAAAACAUGUGGUCUGUGACGUGAUUUCAUUUUUUUUUUUUUUUUGAACCGUCUGUCAGGUCUUGUCUAAAAUGGAAAGCAUUGUUUUGUUUUGUUUUUAUUGUAAAAUUGACUUUUGACAUUUCACUUCAGUAAUUGGAAAGAUUUUAGCAACGUUGAUAAUGCUGAUCCUGAGCAAUUUUUCACAGGGUCUUAUCGUGCGGUUUUGUUUUUCAUGUUUUGAAAAUAAAUUCACAACGCAAAA